rnacentral:rRNA from 1 species
AGAGUUUGAUCCUGGCUCAGGAUGAACGCUGGCGGCGUGCUUAACACAUGCAAGUCGAGCGAAGCACUUCGUUUUGAAUCUUCGGAGGAAGAACGGAAUGACUGAGCGGCGGACGGGUGAGUAACGCGUGGGCAACCUGCCUCAUACAGGGGAAUAACAGUUAGAAAUGACUGCUAAUACCGCAUAAGACCGCGGUACCGCAUGGUACAGCGGUAAAAACUCCGGUGGUAUGAGAUGGGCCCGCGUCUGAUUAGCUAGUUGGCGGGGUAACGGCCCACCAAGGCGACGAUCAGUAGCCGACCUGAGAGGGUGACCGGCCACAUUGGGACUGAGACACGGCCCAAACUCCUACGGGAGGCAGCAGUGGGGAAUAUUGCACAAUGGGGGAAACCCUGAUGCAGCGACGCCGCGUGAGCGAUGAAGUAUUUCGGUAUGUAAAGCUCUAUCAGCAGGGAAGAAGAUGACGGUACCUGACUAAGAAGCCCCGGCUAACUACGUGCCAGCAGCCGCGGU